UACAGAGGUGCCAAGCGUUGUUCGGAUUUAUUGGGCGUAAAGGGUGCGUAGGUGGUCAUGUUAGUCGGAUGUGAAAUACCGGAGCCUAACUCCGGAACGGCAUUCGAAACUGCAUGACUCGAGAUCUGGAGAGGUGACUGGAAUUCUCGGUGUAGCAGUGAAAUGCGUAGAUAUCGAGAGGAACACCAGAGGCGAAAGCGAGUCACUGGACAGAAUCUGACACUGAGGCACGAAAGCUAGGGGAGCAAACGGGAUUAGAAACCCUUGUAGU
rnacentral:rRNA from 1 species